GGCGGUGAGGGGCGCAGAGUCCAGGGGGAAACGACUGUUUACCAAAAACACAGGUCCGUGCGAAGUCGUAAGACGAUGUAUACGGACUGACUCCUGCCCGGUGCUGGAAGGUUAAGGGGAACUGUGAGUGUAUGCGUAGCGGUGAACUUAAGCCCCAGUAAACGGCGGUGGUAACUAUAACCAUCCUAAGGUAGCGAAAUUCCUUGU
rnacentral:rRNA from 13 species